rnacentral:rRNA from 1 species
CCUGCAACUGCAACUGCAAGAGGGCGGAGGCAGACCACAGCCUCGCUGCCGUUGGACGUGCUGGUGGACAUCGCGGCACGCAGCGACCCGGCCACCCUUGUGCGCUGCGCCGCGACGUGUGUCGACAUGCGUUGCCGCGUCAAGGAAUACAUCCGCCUCCGUGGCCGCCUCCGCCUCCGGCAUGGCGACCGCUUCGUGCUCCCCCUCCUGCGCGGCCAUCUGAUCCGCGGGCACCAGUACGACGACAGGCACCAUCGGAAGGAGUUGUUCCUGGUGGACACCGCCGCUGCGGACGACACCACAAUGCACAGGGCCACCACCAUCAGCAGCGUCCCCCUCGCGUCGCGCGAUGGACUCGUCCUCCUCCGCGUUGACGGAGAGCUCCGCGUUUGCAACCAGGUCACUGCCACCAGCCAGACCCUGCCACCUGAACCUGCCUUCCCUGUGACUGUGAGUGUGAGCAGCGUGCCGGCUAGGGAGAUAAGUUAUGUCUUGGUCGUCGGGGGCGAUAACGAUGAUGGUGCCAUCGCCGUUGGCUGGCAUUUUCAAGUGGUCAUGGCAUAUCUAGACGUGUCACAGCACCGCCGCAACCUGCAGCUCCAAACUUUCUCGUCGGAGCACGGCACGUGGGGCCACUACACCGAUAUCCGGGCUCACAACCUGCAGGGCAGCCGCUUGGAAGGAGGCCUCGGCAGGACCCUAAUCGUCGGUGGUGCUAUGCACUGGUUGUGCAGGACCAACACCGGGGCCUAUGUCCUCAAGCUCCUUGUCAAAACAACACACGUGUCAGCGACGAAGCUCCCUGAAUGCUUCCCCCGGGACUGGUCACACCACCGACUCUUGGCGACGCCGGUGGCGGGCGGGAGCCCCAUUGUGCUCACCACGGAUGGCGACAAGAUAUUUGCUUGGGCGCAGUCGAAGCAAACGGCCAAGUGGCAAGAACGACCACAGGUGGUGAUUGAGACGCAGGCAAUGUUGCGGUUCAUCGACAAGGCGGGCGGAAGCAGGCCGCCGUCGACGGGACGGGGCCUUAAUGUACUGUGGUUUGGUGACAAGAGCGGCACCGUGCUCAUCAAUUCAUACUGGGGUUUUUUCUGGCUUGACCUGCGGUCUAUGAAGAUUGUGAGGUGGUUCUGGGAUCGCGAUAUCCCGUACAUUGACGAGAAUAUCGGCUAUGAGAUGAAUUUGGCGGAUUGGGUUCCAACAUUCAGUAGUACU